rnacentral:rRNA from 1 species
UACGUAGGGGGCAAGCGUUGUUCGGAAUUACUGGGCGUAAAGGGCUCGUAGGUGGCCAACUAAGUCAGACGUGAAAUCCCUCGGCUUAACCGGGGAACUGCGUCUGAUACUGGAUGGCUUGAGAUUGGGAGAGGGAUGCGGAAUUCCAGGUGUAGCGGUGAAAUGCGUAGAUAUUGGGAGGAACACCAGUGGCGAAGGCGGCUCACUGGACCGGUUCUGACGCUGAUGCGCGAAAGCGUGGGGAGCAAACGGG